rnacentral:rRNA from 1 species
AUGCAGGUCGUCAUUGAUCCAGUGAUGAGGUUCAGAAACAUUUGGUUGGGACCAGCAGGUAGCAUGAACCAGAUGAGCCUUUUGCAGGACUCUCAACUCUUCGAGGAGUGCGAGAAAGGCGGUUGGCUCAAUGGCAGCAAGCUGAAGGUGGGAUUAGAUGGAUCAGAAGUCGGGGAGUACAUAAUUGGUGAUGCAGGGUACCCUCUUCUUCCAUGGUUACUCACACCUUACCAGGAAGAAGACCUGCUGGGCUCCAAGGCAGAGUUCACUAGGAGACACUCCUCAGCCACAACCUACGCUCUGAAGGCACUGGCAAGGCUAAAAGACACAUGGAAGUACCUGCAGGGAGAGAUGCUGUGCCCAGUCAAUCCAGACACACUAUCUAAGACGAUCUAUGCCUGCUGCAGGUUGCAUAACAUAGUCAUAGAAAUGGAGGAUGAUGCAGCCAUGCUGAGCGCCAAGCAGAGGAAUCGCUCUAAGGAAGUGCGACAGCUAGCAAAUGAGGACGCUGUCAGGGCGAGGGAUAUGCUGUCGCAAUACUUCUUGGCCAGCAGGUCAUCCGAACUGGGAGAGGAGGGUGAUGAAGCAGUUGUAUCAGGCUCAGGAGGUGAAAAGAAGAAACAGGAAGCGCAGACAGGAGCAGCAGAUGAAGAGAUAACAGUAUGA